AACGAACGCUGGCGGCGUGGAUAAGACAUGCAAGUCGAACGGAGGAAGUCGGUAGCAAUACUGGUUUCCUCAGUGGCGCACGGGUGCGUAACACGUGAGUUACAUGCCCUGCAGCGGGGAAUAGCCCGUCGAAAGGCGGAUUAAUACCCCAUGGUCCCGAAAGGGUAAAGGCGGCGCAAGCUGCCACUGCAGGAUUGGCUCGCGGCCUAUCAGCUUGUUGGCGGGGUAACGGCCCACCAAGGCAACGACGGGUAGCUGGUCUGAGAGGACGACCAGCCACACUGGAACUGAGACACGGUCCAGACACCUACGGGUGGCAGCAGUCGAGAAUCAUUCACAAUGGGGGAAACCCUGAUGGUGCAACGCCGCGUGGAGGAUGAAGGUCUUCGGAUUGUAAACUCCUGUCAUCCGGGAGUAAGACCUGACGGUGAACAGCCGGCAGGGUUGAUAGUACCGGAAGAGGAAGGGACGGCUAACUUCGUGCCAGCAGCCGCCGUAAGAC
rnacentral:rRNA from 1 species